UUCUUUGCUGAGAGUGGCGGACGGGUGAGUAAUGCUUGGGAAUCUGGCUUAUGGAGGGGGAUAACUACGGGAAACUGUAGCUAAUACCGCGUAAUAUCUUCGGAUUAAAGGGUGGGACUUUCGGGCCACCUGCCAUAAGAUGAGCCCAAGUGGGAUUAGGUAGUUGGUGGGGUAAAGGCCUACCAAGCCGACGAUCUCUAGCUGGUCUGAGAGGAUGGCCAGCCACACUGGAACUGAGACACGGUCCAGACUCCUACGGGAGGCAGCAGUGGGGAAUAUUGCACAAUGGGGGGAACCCUGAUGCAGCCAUGCCGCGUGAAUGAAGAAGGCCUUCGGGUUGUAAAGUUCUUUCGGUGAUGAGGAAGGUGUUUGUUUUAAUAGAGCAAGCAAUUGACGUUAGUCACAGAAGAAGCACCGGCUAACUCCGUGCCAGCAGCCGCGGUAAUACGGAGGGUGCGAGCGUUAAUCGGAAUGACUGGGCGUAAAGGGCACGCAGGCGGUGACUUAAGUGAGAUGUGAAAGCCCCGAGCUUAACUUGGGAAUUGCAUUUCAUACUGGGUCGCUAGAGUACUUUAGGGAGGGGUAGAAUUCCACGUGUAGCGGUGAAAUGCGUAGAGAUGUGGAGGAAUACCGAAGGCGA
rnacentral:rRNA from 1 species